AGCCACUGGAGCUGGGGAGAGCAGGGAGCCGGGAGAGCCACCAGUCGCAGCCGAGCCGGGACCGGGACUCCAGGGUUCAGAACUUUUCUCGAGGACAGCGUGGGCACCGUGCCAGCCUCACCUGGCCCUUGCCCGUCUUUCAGCUGCAGGUCCCAACCCUCUCUCCUGGAGGCCACCCAUGCCACUCACCCCAGCCGAGGAGAACAAACUUUCUUAGGGAAGGCACCUCUGCGGCCGUGCUGGCUGGACCAGGAGGAGCAGACGGCUGGACAGACAGGGGGACUGAGGCACGGGACACCUGCAAGCCUGCCCUCCUAGUCCUGCCUCUGACAGACAGCCACAGAGUGGGCAGCCGGGGGGCCUAGGGCUCCACAGGGGCAGUUGGGGGGCACUCCCAGACCUCCGUCUGCCCACCAGCCACCUCGGAAUCCAGGUGGCUGGACACUGCUUCCCACGGCCCAGCCCCGUGGCUGGAACCCCCGCGGGUCAAGUCAGGAGCCCCCGCCAGACAGAGCCCCCGGCUCCUCCACCCACCGAGGCGACGGGCAACCUGAGUGAGAAGGCACAGGUGGCGGGCGGGCAAGUGCAGAGCCCUGAAGCCGACGGGCUGCUGACCCUGGAGCGCCCUGGCUCAGGGACUCCUGCCCAGGCUGGCGAUGAUGCUGCGGAGGCCACCCCUGGCCACCCCUGCCCUGUCCUGGAGCUGCCUCCGGCCUGGCCCAUGGGCUGCGGAGUCGAUGAUGUGCCGGCCUUCUGCUUCGUCUGCUUCCACAGGGAGGAGGAAGAGGAGCUGCUGGAAGCAGUCCCAUUGCGGAGACCUGAUGAUCCCAAAGGAUUUGGAUUCUAGAAAAAAGACAAUCACCAGGCACGGUGGCUCAUGCCUGUAAUCCUAGCACUUUGGGAGGCUGAGGCGGGUGGAUCACUUGAAGUCAGGAGUUUGAGACCAGCCUGGCCAACAUGAUGAAACCCCGUCUGUAGUAAAAAUACAAAAAUUAGCCAGGCAUAGUGGCACACGCCUGUAAUCCCAGCUACUCAGGAGGCUGAGCCAGGAGAAUCACUUGAACCCCGCAGGCAGAGGUUGUGGUGAGGCAAGAUCGUGCCAUUGCACUCCAGGCUGGGCAGCAGAGCAAGACUCUGUCAAAAAAAGAAGGAAGGUAGGAAGGCAGGAAGGAAGGAAGGAAGAAAGAAAGGAAGGAAGGGCGGGGAGAGAAAAAGAAAGAAAGGAGAAGAGAAGAGAAGAAAAGAGAAAAAAGACAAUCUAGACAGAGGCAGGAGGCCGACAAGUUAAGAACUGAAACAAUAUUCUCAAUGGUAGAGGUUGCCAACCUAUGGCCUGGGGGCCAGAUUUGUCUGCAAAGUGUGUUUCAUUUGGCCCAUUCAAUAUUUCUGAAUUUUGGGAAUUCGUUUCAAACAUUUAAAAGUUGGAAGAUUUCUGGAUUUCCUGCUUCUCUUUGAAUAUCAUCCAGCCACGCACAGCCCACGAUGUCUCCAGUUCCCCUCUUCUCCACCCUCUCUAUCACUUUACAUGCGACCCCAGUCGCUGAUGUCUGCGCCUGUAGGUACUUGAGUUUGCAAUCUCUGGCUCCUAAAGCUCUGGAAACAGUCGGGAGUGGCUGGGAGGAUUACGCUGGGUUGAGAAAACAGCCUGAUCAAAAACUUAGAAGAAAUAGGGGCAGUCAUAAAAAAUGAUGAGUUCAUGUCCUUUGUAGGGACAUGGAUGAAGCUGGAAACCAUCAUUCUCAGCAAACUAUCGCAAGGACAAAAAACCAAACACCGCACGUUCUCACUCAUAGGUGGGAAUUGAACAAAGAGAACACAUGGACACAGGAAGGGGAACAUCACACACCAGGGACUGUUGUGGGGUGGGGGGAAGGGGGAGGGAUAGCAUUAGGAGAUAUACCUAAUGCUAAAUGACGAGUUAAUGGGUGCAGCACACCAACAUGGCACACGUAUACAUACGUAACAAACCUGCAUGUUGUGCAUAUGUACCCUAAAACUUAAAGUAUAAUAAUAAUUUAAAAAAAGAAUAAAAAAGAAAUGCUUUUGAAGCUUGAAGCUAAAAAAACAAAAAAAAGAAAGAAAGAAAUAGGGAAGGCGUCCUAUGGGGGCUUUCUCACUAGGGAAAGAGUGAGCUGCAGGGAGGAGAAAGAACAGGGCCUGGAAGGACGAGCUGUCCCUAUCUCAUCUCUGUCCCCAUCCACCCACUUCAUCCAGGCCACCAAUUUCCGGUUAUCAAACAGACAAUGCAACAUCCCUUACACCUGCUGUACCUCUGCCUAGAAUCUCCUUUCUUCCCUUCUAUCCGGCGAGCAGUUCCUCCCAGCUGCACUCCUGGACUAGUCACUGCCUAUUUGCAGCAGGGAUCGCAAAGGCGACCUCAGUUGGAUAGGGCAUCCACCCAGGCCCAAGUUUAUGACCUCUUCCCCAAGAAGACUGUGAGUUCUCUGAGGUCUCGCUGGAAAUAGGAUGCAUGGAUGGAUGGAUGGAUGGAUGGAUGGACGGACGGAUGGAUGGAUGGAUGGAAGCGCAGGCAGGCAGGCGGAGGAACAGGCGGACGCAUGGAUGAAUGAAAUGCAUAUCCGAAUGCAGAACCUGGAUUUGUUUUCCCUCCUUCAAACAGACACAGGCUCCGCCCCACUAGCACAGACCGGGACAGUCUGGGGCAGUCUCGUCCCGCAGGGCCCAGAAAGCUG
rnacentral:lncRNA from 1 species